UGGCUACAUUCCCUAUCAAAGAAGGUU
rnacentral:piRNA from 1 species